rnacentral:rRNA from 1 species
GAUGAACGCUGGCGGCGUGCCUAAUACAUGCAAGUAGAACGCUGAAGGAGGAGCUUGCUCUUCUGGAUGAGUUGCGAACGGGUGAGUAACGCGUAGGUAACCUGCCUGGUAGCGGGGGAUAACUAUUGGAAACGAUAGCUAAUACCGCAUGACAACAGUUAUUGCAUGAUAACUGUUUAAAAGGGGCAACUGCUCCACUACCAGAUGGACCUGCGUUGUAUUAGCUAGUUGGUGAGGUAACGGCUCACCAAGGCGACGAUACAUAGCCGACCUGAGAGGGGGAUCGGCCAAACUGGGACUGAGACACGGCCCAGACUCCUACGGGAGGCAGCAGUAGGGAAUCUUCGGCAAUGGACGGAAGUCUGACCGAGCAACGCCGCGUGAGUGAAGAAGGGUUUCGGAUCGUAAAGCUCUGUUGUAAGAGAAGAACGAGUGUGAGAGUGGAAAGUUCACACUGUGACGGUAUCUUACCAGAAAGGGACGGCUAACUACGUG